rnacentral:rRNA from 1 species
UGAACGCUGGCGGCGUGCUUAACACAUGCAAGUCGAACGAACCUUCGGGUUAGUGGCGGACGGGUGAGUAACGCGUGGGAAUCUGCCCUCAGGAGGGGGAUAACGGCCGGAAACGGCCGCUAAUACCCCAUAUGCCGAGAGGUGAAACGAAUUUCGCCUGAGGAUGAGCCCGCGUCUGAUUAGCUAGUUGGUGGGGUAAAGGCCUACCAAGGCGACGAUCAGUAGCUGGUCUGAGAGGAUGAUCAGCCACACUGGGACUGAGACACGGCCCAGACUCCUACGGGAGGCAGCAGUGGGGAAUUUUCCGCAAUGGGCGAAAGCCUGACGGAGCAACGCCGCGUGAGGGAUGAAGGCCUCUGGGCUGUAAACCUCUUUUCUCAAGGAAGAAGAUCUGACGGUACUUGAGGAAUAAGCCACGGCUAAUUCCGUGCCAGCAG